ACAUCCAGAGAAUUUAGCAGAGAUGCUUUAGUGCCUUCGGGAACUCUGAGACAGGUGCUGCAUGGCUGUCGUCAGCUCGUGUUGUGAAAUGUUGGGUUAAGUCCCGCAACGAGCGCAACCCUUAUCCUUUGUUGCCAGCACGUAAUGGUGGGAACUCAAAGGAGACUGCCGGUGAUAAACCGGAGGAAGGUGGGGAUGACGUCAAGUCAUCAUGGCCCUUACGAGUAGGGCUACACACGUGCUACAAUGGCGCAUACAAAGAGAAGCGACCUCGCGAGAGCAAGCGGACCUCAUAAAGUGCGUCGUAGUCCGGAUUGGAGUCUGCAACUCGACUCCAUGAAGUCGGAAUCGCUGGUAAUCGUAAAUCAGAAUGUUACGGUGAAUACGUUCCCGGGCCUUGUACACACCGCCCGUCACACCAUGGGAGUGGGUUGCAAAAGAAGUAGAUAGCUUAACCUUCGGGAGGGCGUUUACCACUUUGUGAUUCAUGACUGGGGUGAAGUCGUAACAAGGUAGGCGUAGUGCU
rnacentral:rRNA from 1 species